GCUGGCGGCAGGCCUAACACAUGCAAGUCGGCGGUAACAGGGAAGCUUGCUUCCGCUGACGAGCGGCGGACGGGUGAGUAAUGCAUAGGAAUCUGCCUGGUAGUGGGGGGAUAGCCCAGAGAAAUUUGGAUUAAUACCGCAUACGCCCUACGGGGGAAAGCAGGGGGGACGUCUUCGGAGCCUUGCGCUAUCAGAUGAGCCUAUGUCGGAUUAGCUUGUUGGUGAGGUAACGGCUCACCAAGGCGACGAUCCGUAGCUGGUCUGAGAGGAUGAUCAGCCACACUGGGACUGAGACACGGCCCAGACUCCUACGGGAGGCAGCAGUGGGGAAUAUUGGACAAUGGGCGCAAGCCUGAUCCAGCCAUGCCGCGUGUGUGAAGAAGGCCUUCGGGUUGUAAAGCACUUUCAGCGGGGAGGAAAGGAUGGUUGCUAAUAUCAGCCGUCUGUGACGUUACUCGCAGAAGAAGCACCGGCUAACUCCGUG
rnacentral:rRNA from 1 species